GACAGAGGCCUCAAGCGUUAGGCGGAAUCACUGGGCUUAAAGCGUGUGUAGGCGGAUCGUUAAGUGCCUUGUGAAAUCCCACGGCUUAACUGUGGAACGGCUGGGCAUACUGGCGGUCUUGAGCCAUCUAGGGGCGACUGGAACAAACGGUGGAGCGGUGAAAUGCGUAGAUAUCGGUUGGAACGCCAAUGGUGAAAACAGGUCGCUGGGGAUGAGCUGACGCUGAGGCACGAAAGCCAGGGGAGCGAACGGG
rnacentral:rRNA from 1 species